rnacentral:rRNA from 1 species
CAGUCGCCGCGGUAAUACAGAGGGUGCGAGCGUUAAUCGGAUUUACUGGGCGUAAAGCGUGCGUAGGCGGCUAAUUGAGUAGGAUGUGAAAUCCCCGAGCUUAACUUGGGAAUUGCAUUCGAUACUGGUUAGCUAGAGUGUGGGAGAGGAUGGUAGAAUUCCAGGUGUAGCGGUGAAAUGCGUAGAGAUCUGGAGGAAUACCGAUGGCGAAGGCAGCCAUCUGGCCUAACACUGACGCUGAGGUACGAAAGCAUGGGGAGCAAACAGGAUUAGAUACCCCAGUAGUCCCUGUCUCUUAUAC